rnacentral:ncRNA from 1 species
UACCUGGUUGAUCCUACCAGUAGUCAUAUGUUUGUCUCAAAGAUUAAGCCAUUCAUGUUUAAGUAUGAACUAAUUCAAAUUGUGAAACUGCGGAUGGCUCAUUAAAUCAGUUAUAGUUUCUUUGAUGGUACCCUACUACUCGGAUAACCAUAGUAAUUCUAGAUCUAAUAUGUGCACCAAGUCUCGACUCUUUGGAAGGGAUGCAUUUAUUAGAUAAAAAGUCGGUGCGGGCUUUCUCGCUUCUCCGGUGAAUCAUGAUAACUCGACGGAUCGCACAACCCUUGUAUUGGCGAUGCUUCAUUCAAUUUUUUUCCCUAUCAACUUUCGAUGGUAGGAUAGAGGCCUACCAUGGUGGUGAUGGGUGACAGAGAAUUAGAGUUCAAUUCCGGAGAGGGAACCUGAGAAACAACUACCACAUCCAAGGAAGGCAGCAGGCACACAAAUUACCCAAUCCUAACAUGGGGAGGUACUUACAAUAAAUAAAAAUACUAGGCUCAUCGACUCUGGUAAUUGGAAUGAGUACAAUCUAAAUCCCUCAAUGAGGAUCCAUUGGAGGGAAAGUUUGGUGCUAGCAGUUGCGAUAAUUCCAGCUCCAAUAGUGUAUAGUUAAGUUGUUGCAGUUAAAAAGCUUGUAGUUGGAUCUUGGGUCAUAAAAGUCGGUCUACCUACUCGGUGUGCACCUUCCCUUCUAUCCCUUUUGUCGAUGACGUGCUCCUAGACUUAAUUGUCUGGGUCACGGUUCCGACGUUGUUACUUUGAAAAAAUUAGAGUGCUCAAAGCAAGCUUAUGCUCUGAAUACAUUAGCAUGGAAUAACAUGAUAGGAGUUUGGUCCUAUUGUGUUGGCCUUCGGGACCAGAGUAAUGAUUAAUAGGGACUGUCGAGGGCAUUCAUAUUUCAUUGUCAAAGGUGAAAUUCUUAAAUUUAUGAAAGACGAACCACUGCGAAAGCAUUUGCCAAGGAUGUUUUCAUUAACCAAGAAUGGAAUUUGGGGGCUCGAAGACGAUCAGAUACCGUCCUAGUCUCAACCAUAAAUGGUGUCAACCAGGGAUCAACAGAUGUUUCUCUAAGGACUCUGCCAGCACCUUCUGAGAAAUCAGGUGUUUGGGUUCCAGGGGGAGUAUGGUUGCAAAAUAUGGUUGAAUUCCCUUUUCAAAACCUCGAUAGGCCCACCAAAUUCCAAUAUCAAUG